rnacentral:rRNA from 1 species
GCUCAAAUUUAAAAUCUGGCAGUGGUUCACUGCCCGAGUUGUAAUCUAGAGAAGUGUUGCUCACACUGGACCAUGUAUAAGUCUUCUGGAAUGAAGCGUCAUAGAGGGUGAGAAUCCCGUCUUUGACAUGGACUCCCAGUGUAUUUGUAGCAUGCUCUCAAAGAGUCGAGUUGUUUGGGAAUGCAGCUCUAAAUGGGUGGUAACCUCCAUCUAAAGCUAAAUAUUGGCGAGAGACCGAUAGUGAACAAGUACCGUGAGGGAAAGAUGAAAAGAACUUUGGAAAGAGAGUUAAAAAGUACGUGAAAUUGUUGAAAGGGAAACGCUUGAAGUCAGUCACAUUGGCCAGGGAUCAACUUGCUUAAGUGUACUUCCUGGCUGAUGGGCCAACAUCAGCUUUGACUGUCAGAGAAGGGUAGGGGGAAUGUGGCACCCUUCUUGGGUGUGUUAUAGCCCUCUGUCAUAUAUGGCGGUUGGGGCUGAGGAAUGCAGCGCGCCACAAGGCCGGGUUUCGACCACGUUCGCGCUUAGGAUGUUGGCAUAAUGGCUUUAAUCGACCCGUCUG